UGAAGUAAGCAGCUGCCCUUUCCUGUGUUCUGUUUUCAUUGCAAUCGCUGCUGAGAUAAUCAGAUGUUUGCUCCAAGUGAUAAUUUCUUAUUUGUUUACCCUGGCCAUUUGAUGCCCAAGCGAGGCUGUGGCUGGCAAGAUGAGAAUUCAGCAGGGUAGCUGGUGACAUCUGAGAGUGGGGAGGCAAAAUUGGCACCGAGAGGCGUACUCACAGCCAGCAAUGAGCAGCAGAGGCUGGGCUGAUUGCAGCAGACACAAUGGAAAAUAAGGCAAAUGUAGCAGCUACUCCCAUAAAUGUCACAGUUUUGUGAAUAUCACAGGUUUUUGGAGUAAUGCUGAAGAGCUCCUUGUCCUCAGCAUCUGUAGAGUGGGAGAACAAAGAGGGUGGACACAUCCACCACUUCAAAUGCCUACAGAAGAGGUGCCUUCAUCUCUACGGGGAAAUGGGCGGCCUCAAGCCCCUACGUCAUCAUCACCUUUGGAGCUACUCCCUGCCUCAACUGGUCCACGCAAGUCACCUAGAGUCUGAUGUUAUUCCUCAAAUACAACAAGUACAUUCCUGCUUCAGGAUCUUUCUGUUACUAACUCCAGCCGUCCUUUAAGUUUGCUGAUGAGCCAUCUUAUUAAGAAAAGGCACCCUGACCAUCAUCACCACCAACCCCUAGCCCUCCCUUUCCCCUUCCAUUGUUUUAUAAGUCUCUAUAGUACUUGCACCCAUCUGACAUAUGACAUAUGACCUUUGCUAUUUUCUAACUGGCCAUUGUACCCCAAUAUAAUGGUAGGCAUCACAAAGUUAGGGGAGUUGUCUAUUUUGUUUACUGUUAUAUGCACAGAGCCUCCAAUGGUGUUGAGCGCACAGUAGGCCCUUUCUAAUAUCUGUUGAAUAAAAUGAUGCAUAUAAAUAAAUAAACCAGUGACAUAAGUCCAGGUGAUGAUAUGUGCUCUGAAGAAAACAAAAGAGCAGUGAUGUGAAAAACAGUUGGGCAUUACUUAGACGCGGCAUGAAAGAAAGGCCUUUUGGAGCAUUUGAGAGGAGGCCUGGCAUGAUGACAAGGAGCCAGCCUUGGGAAGGAGUGAGAACAGAACAUUCCCGACGGGAGGAAGAGAGUGUGUUGAAAGCCUAAGUGGGGAGGUGUAAGCUCGGCACGUUUGAGGGGCAGAAAGACGUCCAGGGUGGUUUAUGUGUAGAGAAUAGGACGGAAGAGAAGAGGGGUGGAGGGAGAGACAGGUCAGGCAGUGCGGGAUGCUGGGAGCCAGGAUAAGGAGAGGAGCUUGAUUCUCAGUGUGCUGGGGAGGUUCUAUUUACAGACACAUAGGCAAAAUCAUGGACUUGUAUAAUAUGACAGUAACAGAGAUUAAAAAAAACGAAACGUCCCCCCUCCCUUGUCAUUUUAAAAUGAAACUGCCUUUCAAACUCAGGCCUAAUCAAGCAAAGC